rnacentral:rRNA from 1 species
CCUACGGGUGGCAGCAGUCGAGAAUCAUUCACAAUGGGGGAAACCCUGAUGGUGCGACGCCGCGUGGGGGAAUGAAGGUCUUCGGAUUGUAAACCCCUGUCAUGUGGGAGCAAAUUAACAAGAUAGUACCACAAGAGGAAGAGACGGCUAACUCGGUGCCAGCAGCCGCGGUAAUACAGAGGUCUCAAGCGUUGUUCGGAAUAACGGGGCGUAAAGGGUGCGUAGGCUGUUUCGUAAGUAGGGUGUGAAAGGCGCGGGCUCAACCCGCGGACGGCACCUGAUACUGCGAGACUAGAGUAAUGGAGGGGGGACCGGAAUUCUCGGUGUAGCAGUGAAAUGCGUAGAUAUCGGGAGGAACACUCGUGGCGAAGGCGGGUUCCUGGACAUUAACUGACGCUGAGGCACGAAGGCCAGGGGAGCGAAAGGGAUUAGAUACCCCUGUAGUC